rnacentral:rRNA from 1 species
UGCCAGCCGCCGCGGUAAUACGGAGGGGGUUAGCGUUGUUCGGAAUUACUGGGCGUAAAGCGCACGUAGGCGGAUUAGUAAGUUAGGGGUGAAAUCCCCGAGCUCAACUUGGGAACUGCCUUUGAUACUGUCUAUCUAGAGUCCGAGAGAGGUUAGUGGAAUUCCCAGUGUAGAGGUGAAAUUCGUAGAUAUUGGGAAGAACACCAGUGGCGAAGGCGGCUAACUGGCUCGGUACUGACGCUGAGAUGCGAAAGCGUGGGGAGCAAACAGGAUUAGAUA